GACAGAGGGUGCAAACGUUGCUCGGAAUUACUGGGCGUAAAGCGCGUGUAGGCGGAUCGGAAAGUCGGGCGUGAAAGCCCCAGGCUCAACCUGGGAACUGCACUCGAAACUCCCGGUCUUGAGUGGUGGAGAGGGAAGUGGAAUUCCUGGUGUAGAGGUGAAAUUCGUAGAUAUCAGGAGGAACACCAGUGGCGAAGGCGGCUUCCUGGACACCAACUGACGCUGAGACGCGAAAGCGUGGGGAGCAAACAGG
rnacentral:rRNA from 1 species